AUAUUUUAAAACAAAACUGUCUUCUUAAUAUCUUCAAUAUUACGCUUUAAAAAUAAGCUAUUAAAAUA
rnacentral:tRNA from 2 species